rnacentral:antisense_RNA from 1 species
UCAUCAUUCCUAGGUGGUUUGUUGAUACCGAAGCCCUGACUGUUACCGCAGUUGGGGUUUCAACU